AGUUCCCCUGGGGGUCACUUUCUUUAAUUUCAUGCAUUUGAAAGCUUGAGUAAAAUAUUCUCCUCUUACUGAAUUUUGAAUUUUUCCUGACCAAGGUUCCUCUUGGGUUGACUGAUGAGCUGACCACUCGGGUUAUGGUGCCACUGGAUGGAACUCCAUCUCUGGAAUGGAAUCAAUGAGACACAAUGACACAACAGAUGGCUUGAGCUAAUUCUUGGAUUGCUUACUGGAAAUCACAUGCUAGGGCUUUUGGCUUUGUCUUGGAUAUUGUUUGGAGCUCAGUUCAGGUGCAGUCUGCUGAGAGAGAAGUUCCCCAGCUCAUCCUCUGCCUUUUUGAGAAGGCCUUUUCAUAAGGUCCAGAGUGAGACCAGAAAACGCUGAUGCAGCUGCUCUUCUGAAGAGCUUGACAAAACUUGAAUGAACUGUGUUUAAAGAAAAUUACAUCCCUGUGCUUAGUGACACUGUCUACAUGAUCCAAGACAUCAACUGAAAGAAAUGUGCUCAGGGGAAACUGGUUGCAACUGUGCCAGCCUGAGAGAGAAGCCCAAGUGUGGAACCAGUGGUGAAUCUUCACUGAGAUCUGAUAGCUGUGCACAAACAGAAUUACCAUCAGAACAUUGUCUUGGCCUGCCUGAUACGACCAGAGUCUCUCACUGAGAAAAGGGUUAGUGACAGACUCUGUGAAAGACGACAGUGCGUUGGGCGUAUUAUUAGAAAAACUGAGAAUGAACACAAUGAGAAGAAUGAGCGAUAACAAGAUGUAGAGCUGAAUGAACACAGCAGGCCAAGCAGCAUCAGAGGAGCAGGAAGGCUGACGUUUCGAGUCUGGACCCUUCUUCAGAAA